rnacentral:rRNA from 1 species
AGAAUCAACGCUGGCGGCGUGCCUAACACAUGCAAGUCGAACGAGAAAGUGGGAGCAAUCCCACGAGUAAAGUGGCGCACGGGUGAGUAACACGUGACUAACCUACCCUUGAGUGGGGGAUAACCUAGGGAAACCUGGGCUAAUACCGCAUAAUACCUACGGGUCAAAGGAGCAAUUCGCUUUAGGAGGGGGUCGCGGCAGAUUAGUUAGUUGGCGGGGUAAUGGCCCACCAAGACAGUGAUCUGUAUCCGGCCUGAGAGGGCGCACGGACACACUGGAACUGAAACACGGUCCAGACUCCUACGGGAGGCAGCAGUGGGGAAUUUGCGCAAUGGGGGAAACCCUGACGCAGCAACGCCGCGUGGAGGAUGAAGCCCCUUGGGGCGUAAACUCCUUUCGAUCGGGAAGAUAAUGACGGUACCGGAAGAAGAGCCCGGCUAACUUCGCGCCAGCAGCCGC